UAGUAGCCAGGAAAAAGAAUUUAAGGAAUUUUAAAAAUAUGCAGUGGUGGGUAAAUAGGGCCGAUAGAAUCAGUGUUAAUUUGUUUUGAAAAUUAGAUGGGAAAAUCGAUAGCAAUAACAAUACUAACUGAAAUACAAACAAUAGAAUGCACAGAGUUUUGAAUAAUGUGCAAGCAAAGACGAAGAGCUGGGAGUAUCUUGGCAAUUGACCUUUAUAGAAUAUCAAAACAAAAUAGUAAAAAAUAAAUAGAAAACGA